CUUCUAAUCUCCCGACAUCUUAAGUGUUAGUUUUGCUGACCCAUACAAGAUAGCUGUGGGGUUACUACCUUCCCCAUCCAAAAGCAACUUCCAUAUUCAUACUGGCUAAUUUCCCUUCUCUACCGCUGAUAUUAACACACGUCAUUUUCCUUACCUUGGCUUCAUUCAGUUUUCUUUGUGCUUUCUCCUAUGGCCUCCUUGCUUAUCUCAAAUGCUAAAUAACCAUGUGUUUCUAUUACCUCUAAGAUAUUGUUUCCCAGCACCCACUGUCCUACUGCUGGUGUGAAUUUCCAUUAUUAUGUUUAAAGAUAAGUUUCCAUUCCAUACCAAAGUCAUUUAGGAUCAGGCAAAAUCCUUCCACUAAUACUACAUCAUCUGCAUAACCUAGGCAAAGCAAUACAACUUCUGAUGUGUGGGACUUUAUUACUUUUGCCUAUAUCCACAUAUACACAUGGAGGAGGGGGAAUGAUUAUGAGCAGAAAGGAUUGAUUGAUUAUGUGGCAGUAGAUGGAAGACUGAGAAAGGAUAUCUGUGACGCGAAGGUAGUAAGUGGGAUGUUCGAUGGCUCUGACCAUCUUGCAAAAGUGGGUGUUUGAAAAGAAAGGUGAAGUAAAAAAGGAAAUACUGAAGAUAGAAAAGUUACAGGAAAAAGAAAUAAAAGAUGAGUAUAACAUGAAAUGGCAGAGGCCUUAAGUGAAAAAUGGGAAAGUGUGAAAGAUAGUACAGAUAGAUAUUGAAAAAGUUUUUGGAACAUUCAAAUAAGUAGUGUUAACUACAACAAAAAAGUGGUAGGAAUGAAAGUGGUGAGGGAUGGAAAAAUACAAGGAAAUUCACGGUAGACUGAAGAGAUAAGGAGGAUAGUAAAAGAAUAAAGGGAACUUUUUAAGAAAACUCACGAAAGAAAUGUGUCUGAGCAAGUAAAAAGGAAAAGGAAAAAGAAAUAUAGAGAAUGCAAAAUGUAAUUAAAACAAGCAAUAAAAGAAAGCAAGAAGA